rnacentral:pre_miRNA from 1 species
AGUUAAAAAUUUUAUCUAUUUGUAUUGUUAAAAACUGAAUUAGUUGGCAGAAUAAUCAGAUAAUGACAUGUGGCAUGCCACGUGUAUCUCAUGUUGACGUAUAAAGAUCAAUUUUUAACAGCAAAAAGCGAUGAAAUUUUUAACA